AUUGAACGCUGGCGGCAUGCCUUACACAUGCAAGUCGAACGGUAACAGGUUAAGCUGACGAGUGGCGAACGGGUGAGUAAUGUAUCGGAACGUGCCCAGUCGUGGGGGAUAACUGCUCGAAAGAGCAGCUAAUACCGCAUACGACCUGAGGGUGAAAGCGGGGGAUCGCAAGACCUCGCGCGAUUGGAGCGGCCGAUAUCAGAUUAGGUAGUUGGUGGGGUAAAAGCCCACCAAGCCGACGAUCUGUAGCUGGUCUGAGAGGACGACCAGCCACACUGGGACUGAGACACGGCCCAGACUCCUACGGGAGGCAGCAGUGGGGAAUUUUGGACAAUGGGCGCAAGCCUGAUCCAGCCAUGCCGCGUGCGGGAAGAAGGCCUUCGGGUUGUAAACCGCUUUUGUCAGGGAAGAAAAGGUUCUGGUUAAUACCUGGGACUCAUGACGGUACCUGAAGAAUAAGCACCGGCUAACUACGUGCCAGCCGCCGCAGUAAUAC
rnacentral:rRNA from 1 species